rnacentral:rRNA from 1 species
UGGGGAAUAUUGCACAAUGGGGGAAACCCUGAUGCAGCGACGCCGCGUGAGCGAAGAAGGCCUUCGGGUCGUAAAGCUCUUUUAUGAGGGAAGAUAAUGACGGUACCUCAAGAAAAAGCCCCGGCUAACUACGUGCCAGCAGCCGCGGUAAUACGUAGGGGGCUAGCGUUGUCCGGAAUCACUGGGCGUAAAGGGUUCGCAGGCGGUUAGAAAAGUCUGAAGUGAAAGGCAGUGGCUCAACCAUUGUAGGCUUUGGAAACUGUUUAACUUGAGUGCAGAAGGGGAGAGUGGAAUUCCAUGUGUAGCGGUGAAAUGCGUAGAUAUAUGGAGGAACACCGGUGGCGAAAGCGGCUCUCUGGUCUGUAACUGACGCUGAGGCUCGAAAGCGUGGGGAGCGAACAGG